AAGGAGCUAUGGAAACUCAUCUGAUUCCAGGUAUGAUGAUGGAAGAGGGACACCAGGAAACCCUCCCCAAAGAAUGGAUCAAAUCAGUCAUUUGCCCAUGGCUUGUGGACAAGGAAGGUAAAUGUCUACUCUAAGAAGCAGACAACUGGACAUACACAUUCAUAGCAGAAGGAAACCAUCAAGAAGUGGAGGGCUGACCAUGCUGGAGUAGUAGAUGAAAAUAUGUGUCUAAACGGGGACUUAUCUGUGUCCUCACAGAUGAAUGAGGUCAUGCUGGGAAUUCCCUCUGCAGGGAACCGGCCUGACUGACAUGCAGUUCCAUAAAUACAUGUUUCUCUCGUUUUUUUUCUGUAGUUUAUUUAAGUUUUAAUAUAGUU
rnacentral:lncRNA from 1 species